rnacentral:rRNA from 1 species
GACGAACGCUGGCGGCGUGCCUAAUACAUGCAAGUUGAGCGCUGAAGGUUGGUACUUGUCCCGACUGGAUGAGCAGCGAACGGGUGAGUAACGCGUGGGGAAUCUGCCUUUGAGCGGGGGACAACAUUUGGAAACGAAUGCUAAUACCGCAUAAAAACUUUAAACACAAGUUUUAAGUUUGAAAGAUGCAAUUGCAUCACUCAAAGAUGAUCCCGCGUUGUAUUAGCUAGUUGGUGAGGUAAAGGCUCACCAAGGCGAUGAUACAUAGCCGACCUGAGAGGGUGAUCGGCCACAGUGGGACUGAGACACGUCCCACACGCCUACGGGAGGCAGCAGUAGGGAUGCUUCGGCCAUGGACGAAAGUCUGACCGAGCGACGCCGCGUGAGUGAAGAAGGGUUUCGGAUCGUAAAACUCUGUUGGUAGAGAAGAACGUUGGUGAGAGUGGAAAGCUCAUCAAGUGACGGUAACUACACAGAAAGGGACGGCUAACUACGUG